UACUUUUGCCCCCGAAAAACUCGUACAUAAUAAUCAUUAAAUUAAUAUUGGAAUG
rnacentral:ncRNA from 1 species